GUGAGAUGUGUGUGAUGUGAAAGCCCCGGGCUUAACCUGGGAAGUGCAUCGCAAACUAUCUGACUGGAGUAGAUGAGAGGGUGGCGGAAUUUCCGGUGUAGCGGUGAAAUGCGUAGAGAUCGGAAGGAACGUCAAUGGCGAAGGCAGCCACCUGGCAUCAUACUGACGCUGAGGCGCGAAAGCGUGGGGAGCGAACAGGAUUAGAUACCCUGGUAGUCCACGCUGUAAACGAUGAGUACUAAAGGUUGGUAGGGGAACCUAUCAGUCUUGAAGCUAACGCGAUAAGUACUCCGCCUGGGAAGUACGGCCGCAAGGUUGAAACUCAAAUGAAUUGACGGGGGCCCGCACAAGCGGUGGAGCAUGUGGUUUAAUUCGAUGCAACGCGAAGAACCUUACCUACCCUUGACAUCCUGCGAAUCCCGAUGAGAGUUGGGAGUGCCGAAAGGAGCGCAGAGACAGGUGCUGCAUGGCUGUCGUCAGCUCGUGUUGUGAGAUGUUGGGUUAAGUCCCGUAACGAGCGCAACCCUUGUCCUUAGUUGCCAGCAAGUAAAGUUGGGGACUCUAAGGAGACUGCCGGUGAGGAACCGGAGGAAGGCGGGGACGACGUCAAGUCAUCAUGGCCUUUAUGGGUAGGGCUACACACGUGCUACAAUGGGGCGUACAGAGGGUAGCGAACCCGCGAGGGGGAGCCAAUCUCAGAAAGCGUCUCGUAGUCCGGAUUGGAGUCUGCAACUCGACUCCAUGA
rnacentral:rRNA from 1 species